rnacentral:lncRNA from 10 species
CAAGCGAAGAGCGUUCACUGACAUCCGCGAAGCUGCUGGCGCGUGGACUGUGUGGGGAGGGCGCGUGGGGUGAAGGUGGGUCUGCGAGAGGGUCCGCUGGGAGGCUGGCGUCUGGCGUUGGCGCCUGAAAGAGAUCAGACCAGCUGUUGGGUGUCACUCAAGUCCUGCUGCUCUUAGCCCUCCUAGCACCCCCGACCCGAGGGUGCUGUGCUUGUGCCCACGCGCCGGUGAAGCCCCGAGACUCAGCGGGGAGACCCCGGGUCCGGCCACCCCCGAGCUGCAGUAGUCGGGUCUCACCGGCAUCUGCUACACAAACCCGGAUUGGUGCCCUGGCUCCUUUCGUUCAAGUCAUUGGAACCCCCACUCAAAAUCGUCAAAAUGAAGACGAUGGUCGUGUCUCCUUCUUGGGGGUUGGAUUAAAAGGGCCUAAUGUGAGAGACGGAAAGCAAAGCUCCCGGCACCGGGCCGGGCACACGGUGGGCGCUAGAUAAUGACCGCUAUUCACUCAACUGCAGCCAGUAAUUAUGGGCGAGGGCCAUCUAGGUGCUUGCAUGAGAACCAGUCAUAUCGGUGAAGAAGACGGCCAUGGGCUUAGGUUUUGGUGGCAAAACAGCUCCCCUGCCCCAAAAAAGAAAAGAGAAUAGAAAAGAAAAAGGCAUAAUAAAUAUCAGCCACACAUUGUGAUAAGUAUAUUGAAAGAAACGAGACAGAAUAAGAAAAGAGGAAGCUUCAGUAUCCUGUCACGUUGCCACUCCCUUCUGAUAACAGAAGCAUCUUUUCUUCUGUCCCCUUACUCCCUCCCAGAAACCCUGACACCCUUUCCAUUUAAAUAGCAGCACCCUAGGCCUCCAACAUCCCUGAGCUAAAUAUUCAAGUCCACAUGUCCCUUCUUGCCUGGAAAGAGACAGAACCCAGCACCAGCCAGGCCCCUGCCCUUCCCUCACUCUCAGUUCCCUGAGCCUCAAUUCCUUAUCUGUAAAAUGGAAAUGAUAGCCUAAGGCAUAAGGUCUGAGGACCUCAUGAGAUCAAGCAUGGGGCCUGGCACUCUGUAAACAUCGAAUCAACCAGAUUUUCUUUGCCCAAACAGCCCUCUUUUCUUACACUUUCUUCCUCGUUAUUCUUCUGAGUAUGCCACUUGUAAAGGAUAAGCCAUGAGGUUGCCCUGCAGAGUGCAAGAUGGUUGCAAUAUUUGAGAGCCUAUUGUGUGUGAGGCCCUGGAGGAUGGCAGAGGGAACAGGAGGAAAACAAAGUCACAUGCUUUACCCUCAAACAAAGGGCUGUCUGCGAUAGUUACAAUGUAUAUAUUAAAGGCUGUCUGUGAUAGUUAAGAUGUAUA